AGAAUCCAGUUCUUUAGCAUUCACUGCUGUCAUUAUGACUCAGCUUGCCAAUCUGGGCACAAAGAAGCUAGAUACAAGUAGGUCAAGGCAAGGACAUGCUGACCAAAGUCAAUCACGAUUGUUUGAGCUGCCUCCUGACUUCCCUCCCAAGAUGGAGAGUUAUUUAAGGACCCAUGCAUUGUGUUUGUUUCUAUACCCCUAUCACCGAGCUAUGCGCCCGGUACGUGCAAAUAUUUACUCAGGGCUUGCUCUACAUCGGAAACCACACUAGGUAUGAGGACACAAUGCUGAGCUGAACCAGACAGGUGAGACCGCUGCUCUCAGAAUUCAUGCUUGGGCACCAAGCAGACUCAAGAAAAGACUUCUAAAAAUUGCCUGCUGUUCCAAAGAGGGAAAACGAAGCAGGACAAGCCCAAUUUCCUGAAGAGGGGAGGAGAGGCAGCCAUCUUGGCUGCCAACUCAUCCCAGCAUUCAAGUAAUCCCUGAAUUUACUUGGCAAAAAACAAACCCACAAUUACCCAAGACAAGAAGUGAAGUGGUUUUUAUUCUUGCCUGCUUUUUU
rnacentral:lncRNA from 1 species